GACGAACGCUGGCGGCGUGCUUAACACAUGCAAGUCGAACGGAAAGGCCCCUUUGGGGGUCCUCGAGUGGCGAACGGGUGCGUAACACGUGAGUAACCUGCCCUUGACUUCGGGAUAACUUCAGGAAACUGGGGCUAAUACCGGAUAGGAAUCCUUGCUGCAUGGUGGGGGUUGGAAAGCUUCUGCGGUUUUGGAUGGACUCGCGGCUUAUCAGCUUGUUGGUGGGGUAGUGGCUUACCAAGGCUUUGACGGGUAGCCGGCCUGAGAGGGCGACCGGCCACAUUGGGACUGAGAGACGGCCCAGACUCCUACGGGAGGCAGCAGUGGGGAAUAUUGCACAAUGGGCGGAAGCCUGAUGCAGCAACGCCGCGUGCGGGAUGACGGCCUUCGGGUUGUAAACCGCUUUCAGCAGGGGCGAAGCUUGUGGUGACGGUACCUGCAGAAGAAGCACCGGCUAACUACGUG
rnacentral:rRNA from 1 species